rnacentral:tRNA from 1 species
GGCCCAUUAGUCUAGGGGUUAUGACGUUGGAUUUUGAUUCCAAAGACAUCAGUUCGAAUCUGAUAUGGGCCU